rnacentral:rRNA from 1 species
UACGUAGGGCGCGAGCAUUAAUCGGAUUUACUGGGCGUAAAGGGUGCGUAGGCGGCUUGGCAAGUCAGAUGUGAAAUUUCGGGGCUCAACCCCGAAGCUGCAUUUGAAACUGCCGAGCUAGAGGUCAGGAGGGGAAAACGGAAUUCCACGUGUAGCGGUGAAAUGCGUAGAGAUGUGGAAGAACACCGGUGGCGAAGGCGGUUUUCUGGCCUGAACCUGACGCUGAGGCACGAAAGCAAGGGGAGCAAACAGG